rnacentral:rRNA from 1 species
CGUCUAGGCGGGGAAUUAAGUUAGGUGUGAAAUCCAUGGGCUCAACUCGUGAAUGGCAUCUAAAACUGAUUCUCUUGAGUUCGGGAGAGGAGAGCAGAAUUCCUGGUGUAGCGGUGAAAUGCGUAGAUAUCAGGAGGAAUACCAGUGGCGAAGGCGGCUCUCUGGCCUAGGACUGACGCUGAAGCGCGAAAGCGUGGGGAGCGAAC